AUGGGCGAAAGCCUGAUGCAGCAACGCCGCGUGAACGAUGAAGGUCUUCGGAUCGUAAAGUUCUGUUGCAGGGGAAGAUAAUGACGGUACCCUGUGAGGAAGCCCCGGCUAACUACGUGCCAGCAGCCGCGGUAAUACGUAGGGGGCUAGCGUUAUCCGGAUUUACUGGGCGUAAAGGGUGCGUAGGUGGUCCUUCAAGUCGGUGGUUAAAGGCUACGGCUCAACCGUAGUAAGCCGCCGAAACUGGAGGACUUGAGUGCAGGAGAGGAAAGUGGAAUUCCCAGUGUAGCGGUGAAAUGCGUAGAUAUUGGGAGGAACACCAGUAGCGAAGGCGGCUUUCUGGACUGCAACUGACACUGAGGCACGAAAGCGUGGGUAGCAAACAGGAUUAGAUACCCUGGUAGUCCACGCUGUAAACGAUGAGUACUAGGUGUCGGGGGUUACCCCCCUCGGUGCCGCAGCUAACGCAUUAAGUACUCCGCCUGGGGAGUACGCACGCAAGUGUGAAACUCAAAGGAAUUGACGGGGACCCGCACAAGUAGCGGAGCAUGUGGUUUAAUUGAGCACGCGAAGAAC
rnacentral:rRNA from 1 species